rnacentral:rRNA from 1 species
CCCUUAGAUGUUCUGGGCCGCACGCGUGCUACACUGAGUGGAUCAGCGGGUCAGGUUGCGCGAAAGCGUUUCCUAAUCUUUAAAUCCGCUCGUGAUGGGGAUUGACGGUUGCAAUUUUCUGUCAUGAACGAGGAAUACCUUGUAAGCGCGAGUCAUCAUCUCGCGUUGAUUACGUCCCUGCCCUUUGUACACACCGCCCGUCGCUCCUACCGAUUGAACGUGCUGGUGAAGCGUUAGGACUGGCUCUCGGGGCAGGUCUCCUGCCCCUUGAAUCGGGAAUUUCGUUGAACCCUCCCGUUUAGAGGAAGGAGAAGUCGUAACA